ensembl:misc_RNA Metazoa_SRP Metazoan signal recognition particle RNA
GCCCAUAGUCCCAUUUACGGGGGAGGCUGCAGCAGGAGGAUAGCUUGAGCCCAGGAGUUCUGAGCUGCAGUGAGCUGUGCCCAUUAGGUGUCUGCACUAAAUUUGGCAUCAAUAUGGUGACUUCCCAGGAGCAGGAAACACCAGAUUGCUCAAGGGAGGUUGAGCUCGCCCAGGAUGGAAACAGAGCAGGUCAAAACUUCCAUACUGAUCAGUAAAGGGCAUAUUCUCAGAUGCUGCCACUCAUCAUCUAUAUAUUUUAAUGCUU